GUCGAACGGCAGCGCGGGGCAACUGGCGGCGAGUGGCGAACGGGUGAGUAAUAUAUCGGAACGUACCCUAGAGUGGGGGAUAACGUAGCGAAAGUUACGCUAAUACCGCAUACGAUCUAAGGAUGAAAGUGGGGGAUCGCAAGACCUCAUGCUCGUGGAGCGGCCGAUAUCUGAUUAGCUAGUUGGUAGGGUAAAAGCCUACCAAGGCAUCGAUCAGUAGCUGGUCUGAGAGGACGACCAGCCACACUGGAACUGAGACACGGUCCAGACUCCUACGGGAGGCAGCAGUGGGGAAUUUGGACAAUGGGCGAAAGCCUGAUCCAGCAAUGCCGCGUGAGUGAAGAAGGCCUUCGGGUUGUAAAGCUCUUUUGUCAGGGAAGAAACGGUGAAGGCUAAUAUCCUUUGCUAAUGACGGUACCUGAAGAAUAAGCACCGGCUAACUACGUGCCAGCAGCCGCGGUAAUACGUAGGGUGCAAGCGUUAAUCGGAAUUACUGGGCGUAAAGCGUGCGCAGGCGGUUUUGUAAGUCUGACGUGAAAUCCCCGGGCUCAACCUGGGAAUUGCGUUGGAGACUGCAAGGCUAGAAUCUGGCAGAGGGGGGUAGAAUUCCACGUGUAGCAGUGAAAUGCGUAGAUUGUGGAGGGAACACCGAUGGCGAAGGCAGCCCCUGGGCUUAAGAUUGACGCUCAUGCACGAAAAGCCG
rnacentral:rRNA from 1 species